GAUGAAGAACGCAGCGAAAUGCGAUAAGUAAUGUGAAUUGCAGAUUUCCAGUGAAUCAUCGAAUCUUUGAACGCACCUUGCGCCCCUUGGUAUUCCGAGGGGCAUGCCUGUUUGAGUGUCAUUAAACCAUCAACCUCGGGGUUUUCGAGCCUUGGGGAUUGGAGUUGGAGUGUGCUGGUGUAAACCCCCAUCGGCUCCUCUCAAAUGCAUAAGCGGGAAACCCUUUACUUCCGAAAGUCGGUGUGAUAAGGAUUUGUUACGCCGUCGCAUAGGGACUUUGAAGGCCGCUCACAAUGGUCUUCGGACGACGUCUAUCAAACUUGACCUCAAAUCAGGUAGGACUACCCGCUGAACUUAAGCAUAUCAAUAAGCGGAGGA
rnacentral:misc_RNA from 1 species